rnacentral:rRNA from 1 species
CAGUCGCCGCGGGAAUACGAAGGGUGCAAGCGUUAAUCGGAAUUACUGGGCGUAAAGCGUGCGUAGGCGGUUUGUUAAGUCUGCUGUGAAAUCCCCGGGCUCAGCCUGGGAAUGGCAGUGGAUACUGGCAAGCUAGAGUGUGUCAGAGGAUGGUGGAAUUCCCGGUGUAGCGGUGAAAUGCGUAGAGAUCGGGAGGAACAUCAGUGGCGAAGGCGGCCAUCUGGGACAACACUGGCGCUGAGGCACGAAAGCGUGGGGAGCAAACAGGAUUAGAUACCCCAGUAGUCCCUGUCUCUUAUAC